CCUACGGGUGGCUGCAGUAAGGAAUAUUGGUCAAUGGACGCAAGUCUGACCCAGCCAUGCCGCGUGGAGGAUUAAGGCCCUCUGGGUUGUAAACUCCUUUUAUCUGGGAAGAAAUGUACUUUUUCUUGAGUACUUGACGGUACCAGAGGAAUAAGCACCGGCUAACUCCGUGCCAGCAGCCGCGGUAAUACGGAGGGUGCAAGCGUUAUCCGGAUUCACUGGGUUUAAGGUGGGCGUAGGUGUCCGGGGUGAAAUCUCCGGGCUUAACCCGGAAACUGCCGUUGAUACUAUGUGUCUUGAAUAUUGUGGAGGUAAGCGGAAUAUGUCAUGUAGCGGUGAAAUGCUUAGAUAUGACAUAGAACACCAAUUGCGAAGGCAGCUGACUACACAAUCAUUGACGCUGAGGCACGAAAGCGUGGGGAUCAAACAGGAUUAGAUACCCCUGUAGUC
rnacentral:rRNA from 1 species